rnacentral:misc_RNA from 1 species
CACAAUAAAAUACGAAGGCUGUACGCGACUGUGCUCUCGGGCCAGUUUUGCGGAGGCUGAAUUAUUUAUUACCCUUGUCUUUUGCGCACUUGUUGUUUCCUGGGCGGGUUCGCCCGCCACCAGGACCACAUCAUAAACCUUUUUUAUGCAGUUGCAAUCAGCGUCAGUAUAACAAAUGUAAAUCAUUUA